AAUUUAUUUGCUUCUACAUAGAUGCACUGGAAUAUCUUUAGGAGAAUCUAUGCACUUGUUUUAACUGAGAAGAAUUUUUUUUUUUUUUUUUUAACCCAAGCUGACUACUCAGGUCCGCCAUAGACUCAAAAUAGUGUCCAGUUGUGAAAUGAGCAGUAGAAAUGAACCAAACCUCUGGUGUCUUUUUCUGAGGAUGUAAAGCAGAGAGAGGCCUCUACUUUAUUUCCUCUCUGUUUAGAGCAUUCAGUCAAUAGUACCAGCUUCUUUGGCUCCAAGUGUGGGAUUCAGGAGGUGUCCUGAAUCAUCUGAAGUGGCAGCCCAGGGCUGUUCUGAACCAAGCUGAGAAAGUGGCACAAUGCUGUGUUGCAGGAAGUGAAAGAUGCCCCUUAGCCUCUGUGUCACUUGCUCAUGCUAGUGACACAGUCAGCAACUACAGAUACAGAGAAGACAGCCACACAGGCUUGGAAGCAGGCAUUGGCCUUUGGGACAAGGAACCCCAGUGGCCCUCACUCCCAGAGCAUGGCCUAAAAAGGUAUGUGUGUGUGUGUGUGUGUGUACAUGCAUGAGUAUAUACGUGCACACGUGCACAUGCAUGUGUGUACGUGUGUGUGCAUGUGUGCGUGCUGUGGUUGGGCACAUCACCAUGAGUAUGUUGGAGCAAGGAUUUUCUUUUCUCAAGC
rnacentral:lncRNA from 1 species